GCCGUCGUUGACCAGGCAGGUCACCUCCUUUCAAUGGAAUUUCCCGUUUGAUUAUUGACCCAGGAGGAUUCUCGGGGUUCGAACCCCCGCGACGGCA